AAGAAAAUGGUAGUUAAUGCAAAACUCGUCAUCUUGGCAAUACGCGCAUGACGAGAUAUUGAAUGAUAGGCUACACAUCAGUCAUUUUAGAGUAAUGAACAUAGUUAUAACUAUGUGUCGUCCAUGAACUAUGAACGAUUACGGGACAAACAUGACCACCACGGGGCGGAUCAUUUUUUAUUUUAUGGCUAUGUAUGGCUAUAGUAAAGCCUUGUUAACACUCUUAAAGCCAGAUUUACUGUCCGUUCCUCAUGAAACUUGGUCAGGUGAUUGGUUUUAGGGUCCUAUGGCUUGUUAUUAAGAGAAAUGUAGGUGAUGGGUUUAAGAGCCAUAUAUAUUGUCAUAAAUGGUAAUGCAGGUGAUUGGUUGAAGAGCCCUAUGGAUGUAGUGUAGGUGGUUGUCUUAAUCAAGGUGCCUGAACCACGUAACUUUUUCGGCUAUGUGUGGGACAAUCGGAUGUAAACAAAACGUCGCUUCAGACUUGAAAAGGAUUAGUCGAAAGAUCUGUAACGCUUUUAAGGUUCGAAGCUGUGUAAGAACUACAUGAACACCAUCAUAUCACACGGAAGGUGAUAUGUGGCAAGUUAAUUAUCAAAACCACAGUGACAGAGACAGGGACCCCGCUUCAUUCUGUGAUGUUUAUGGAAAGCUAUUUCAACUAACUAUGCAAACAUUCAUGUUCUUAUACGGAUUUAAUAGCGUUUGGGAACAAAUGAAUCCCUAUGUGUAUGCGUCUAGACAACGAUCAUAUCGUGCUUAUACAUCCGGUUUUGUAAAUGAAGGGCCCCGAUAAAGCAGCGACCAACUAACAAUAUCAUGUGCUGAUACGGUCUAUUUUUAAAUGUUAUAAAUAAUGCACCAUUAUCAUCAAUGGAUCUAUAUUGUUAUAUCAGGGUAAAUUAAUUACAGCAUGAUACUCACGCUCAUCAAGCCAAAAACAAAGUGCAUACAAAUGCAAGUCAUCAACAAUCACUUAAUAACAUAAUGUUAAUGAACUCACGGUACAUUUGAUCCUGUAUAAAGUGUACUUCUUCUAAAGAAAAACAAAUCCAGUCACCAUUUUCGCCGCGUAUUACUACAGCGGACUUCGAAUAAUAUUAGGGAACGAUGCCUUGUUAAUCAUAUUUCAACAGUUAUGAAGUUAAGAGAAACAUGAAUAUAUAUUGACAAUAAUAAUAUUAUAAUAUUAAGUUGAUGUGUAAAGUACCAUAUAUUUGAAAGAAAUUAAACAUAGGAAACAAUGCAGGCGAUAUACUUGAGGUAUCUUCGUUUAAAAUAAAUUGUAUUUUAAAUAUUAAAAUACUAUUGUUGAAUACAAAAUGUGCUGUUUGGCUAGAAAUCGAUAAGAAGCUCUGUCUGACAGUAAAAAUGUUUAUAUUUACACGUGUAUCAGCUAACGAAAGCUAUACAGUCUUAUUGAUGACUUGUAUAAUAAUACAAGUCAUCGUUAAGGCUAUGAUUUUGUUUAAAGUGACAUGGAUAGUCGUACUUUUAAUGAACAAGAUCCAUUUUUUAUGAUGAAUACCUUGAUGAAAAACAGUCAUAUGUAGUCAAUAAUUAAAAAAGUUCACGUCGUAUUGCUAAAGGUAAAGUAAUAAAAUAAUGCGGUAAAAGUCCAAUGCAUUUUUUUCACGUAACCUGUGUUUCAAGUCACAAUGGGAGAUAAAAAAAAAUAUACGUUGGGGGAUAUUACACUUUUAUAACAUAAUUGGUGUACAUUAUAAAUAAUGGUGUUUGCAACAAUUAAACGGUUUAGUCUAUCUAGACUGU